rnacentral:rRNA from 1 species
CGAAGGGUGCGAGCGUUAAUCGGAAUUACUGGGCGUAAAGAGCACGUAGGCGGUUUGAUAAGCGGAAUGUGAAAUCCCCGGGCUUAACCUGGGAACUGCAUUCCGAACUGUCAGGCUAGAGUAUGAUAGAGGUGAGCGGAAUUUCCUGUGUAGCGGUGAAAUGCGUAGAUAUAGGAAGGAACAUCAGUUGCGAAGGCGGCUCACUGGAUCAAUACUGACGCUGAGGUGCGAAAGCGUGGGUAGCGAACAGGAUUAGAUACCCUGGUAGUCCACGCCGUAAACGAUGUCUACUAGCCGUUGGGAACUUGAUUUCCCAGUGGCGUAGCUAACGCGAUAAGUAGACGCCUGGGGAGUACGGCCGCAGGUU